GAGAGGUAACGGCUCACCAAGGCAUCGACGGGUAGCUGGUCUGAGAGGAUGAUCAGCCACACUGGAACUGAGACACGGUCCAGACUCCUACGGGAGGCAGCAGUGGGGAAUCUUGCACAAUGGGCGCAAGCCUGAUGCAGCGAUGCCACGUGCGGGAAGAAGGCCCUAGGGUUGUAAACCGCUUUCAGUAGGGAAGAAAAUGACGGUACCUACAGAAGAAGGUGCGGCCAACUACGUGCCAGCAGCCGCGGUGACACGUAGGCACCAAGCGUUAUCCGGAUUUAUUGGGCGUAAAGAGCUCGUAGGCGGUUUGGUAAGUCGGGUGUGAAAACUCUGGGCUCAACCCAGAGAGGCCACUCGAUACUGCUAUGACUAGAGUACGGUAGGGGAGCGGGGAAUUCCUGGUGUAGCGGUGAAAUGCGCAGAUAUCAGGAGGAACACCAGUGGCGAAGGCGCCGCUCUGGGCCGUAACUGACGCUGAGGAGCGAAAGCAUGGGUAGCAAACAGGAUUAGAUACCCUGGUAGUCCAUGCCGUAAACGUUGGGCACUAGGUGUGGGUCUCAACCAACGAGAUCCGCGCCGUCGCUAACGCAUUAAGUG
rnacentral:rRNA from 1 species